AGGCAGGAGAGUCACUUGAACCUGGGAGGCGGAGGUUGCAGUGAGCCGAGAUCGUGCCUUGCACUCCAGCCUGGAGACAGAACGAGACUCCGUCUCAAACAUAAAAAUCUGCCAUACUUAUGACCUUACAUAAAUGAAAAAUGAGAGAAAAAUAGCCACUUGAUUUCUUUUUGGCUCUUUUCCUCCUAAAAUCCCUAAAUGCUUCAUAGUAAAUGCCUCAUUCGUUCUCACUACAUUGUGUUAGGUAGGUUGAUAAAAUUUCAUAAAAUAGAUGAGAAAAUUUUGUAUAAGUUUAUUCAGUGCUUGCUAAGCCAAUAUGUUUUUUUGUAGUUCCUCUAAAAUAAUGUGGUAAUAGGUUAAAAAUGAUGUAAUUUGUAGAAGAUGUCCUCCUCUUUUCUGGUGUAAGCUUGGAUGGGAGUCAUUUAUAGUUCUUCACCAAACACAAGAAAUUGUGGGGAUUAGAUUGGGUUUAGUCUUGAUGUGGUCUGAGGCAACCAACCAGAGGCAUGGUUUAUGUCGUCUGGUUUUAGACCUUCUGCCACAGUAAUGGUUUCCUAAUGUUUCUAUUUUGCAAUUCUCUAAUCAAAAGAAAACCCAGGAAGAUGUAUCCAUAUAAAUUGACAUAAAUUAUCCGAUCUAGGUGUCAGGCCUAGUGGCUGAAGAUUUCACUUCAAAUGCCAGAAGGAUAAAAACAUAGACUUUUGCGUACAGACCUUCGUUAUUGUACCAUUGUCUUGUGUCACCCUUUGCCACUAAGAAUACUUUGCAUUUAAAAUUUAGAUCUUCUUACAUGGAAGAGGUCAAAUCCAGUUAUAGCAAAACACCUUUACUGCAGAGGCCAUAUAACCAAAAAGUCCAAAGGCCCAGCCCAGUGGACCAUUUACUUCAAUGAUGUUCAGUACAAAAUUUCACUGCCAUUAAAGACUUUGGAAAGUCCCUUUUAAGUUGUAACAGGAUUUGACUAUUAGUGUGGAUUUCGAUAACCCUUCUUUAGUUCAUGUAAUAAAUGCCCUUUGAAACUGGAA